AUUGAACGCUGGCGGCAGGCCUAACACAUGCAAGUCGAGCGGAUGAAGGGAGCUUGCUCCUGGAUUCAGCGGCGGACGGGUGAGUAAUGCCUAGGAAUCUGCCUGGUAGUGGGGGAUAACGUCCGGAAACGGGCGCUAAUACCGCAUACGUCCUGAGGGAGAAAGUGGGGGAUCUUCGGACCUCACGCUAUCAGAUGAGCCUAGGUCGGAUUAGCUAGUUGGUGGGGUAAAGGCCUACCAAGGCGACGAUCCGUAACUGGUCUGAGAGGAUGAUCAGUCACACUGGAACUGAGACACGGUCCAGACUCCUAAGGGAGGCAGCAGUGGGGAAUAUUGGACAAUGGGCGAAAGCCUGAUCCAGCCAUGCCGCGUGUGUGAAGAAGGUCUUCGGAUUGUAAAGCACUUUAAGUUGGGAGGAAGGGCAGUAAGUUAAUACCUUGCUGUUUUGACGGUACCAACAGAAUAAGCACCGGCUAACUUCGUG
rnacentral:rRNA from 1 species